rnacentral:rRNA from 1 species
AUUGAACGCUGGCGGCAUGCCUUACACAUGCAAGUCGAACGGCAGCACGGGAGCAAUCCUGGUGGCGAGUGGCGAACGGGUGAGUAAUGUAUCGGAACGUGCCCAGUCGUGGGGGAUAACGUAGCGAAAGCUACGCUAAUACCGCAUACGAUCUGUGGAUGAAAGCGGAGGACCGUAAGGCCUCGCGCGAUUGGAGCGGCCGAUAUCAGAUUAGGUAGUUGGUGGGGUAAAGGCCUACCGAGCCGACGAUCUGUAGCUGGUCUGAGAGGACGGCCAGCCACACUGGGACAGAGACACGGCCCAGACUCCUACGGGAGGCAGCAGUGGGGAAUUUUGGACAAUGGGCGCAAGCCUGAUCCAGCAAUGCCGCGUGCAGGAUGAAGGCCUUCGGGUUGUAAACUGCUUGUGUACGGAGCGAAAAGGCUCUCUCUAAUACAGGGGGCUCAUGACGGUACCGUAAGAAUAAGCACCGGCUAACUACGUGCCAGCAGCCGCAGUAA